rnacentral:rRNA from 1 species
GACGAACGCUGGCGGCGUGCUUAACACAUGCAAGUCGAACGGAAAGGCCAGGCUUUUGUGGGUUUCUCGAUUGGGGAACGGGUGAGUAACACGCGAGUAUCCUGUCCUUGUCUGUGUGAUAACUUCAGGAAACUGGGGCGCAUACCGGAGAUGAGCUCCUGCUGCAUGGUGGGGGUUGGAGAGUGUCGGCGGUUGGGGAUGGUCUCGCUGCUUAUGAGCUGGUUUGGGGGGUUGUGGAUUACCAAGGGUUUGAAGGGUAGGCGGCCUGGGAGGGUUACCGGCGACCAUGGGCCUGAGAUACGCACCAGUCUCGUACGGGCGGCAGUAGUGGGGAAUAUGGCACAACGGGCGGAAGCGUGAUGCAGCAACGCCGCGUGCGGGAUGACGGGCUUCGGGGUGUAAACCGAUUUCGCCUGUGACGAAGAGUGAGUGACGGUAACGGGUAAAGAAGCACCGGCUAACUACGUG